rnacentral:rRNA from 1 species
GAUGAACGCUGGCGGCGUGCCUAAUACAUGCAAGUCGAGCGAACAGACGAGGAGCUUGCUCCUUUGACGUUAGCGGCGGACGGGUGAGUAACACGUGGAUAACCCACCUGUAUGACUGGGAUAACUUCGGGAAACCGGAGAUUAUACCGGAUGAUCUCUUGAACCGCAUGGCUCAUUAGUGAAAGACGGCUUUGCUGUCUGUUCUAGAUGGAUCUGCGCCGGAUUAGCUAGUUGGGAAGGUAAAGGCUUACCAAGGCUAGGAUGCGUAUCCGACCUGAGAGGCUGAUCGCCCACCCUGGAACUUAGACACCGACCUGACUCCUACGGGAGGCAGCAGUAGGGAAUCGUCCGCAAUGGGCGAAAGCCUGACGGAGCAACGCCGCGUGUGUGAUGAAGGUGUUCGGAUCGUAAAGCUCGGUUAUUAGUGAAGAACAAAUGUGUAAGGAACUGUGCACGUCUUGACGGUACCGAAUCAGAAAGCCACGGCUAACUACGUG